AAGGUGUAAAAAAGACUUCUAAUCUUUAAUUAGCGCUACUGCUACACCUGG
rnacentral:tRNA from 1 species